rfam:Schistocephalus solidus strain NST_G2 genome assembly, scaffold: SSLN_scaffold0017886
GAGCCCGUGGCUCAAUGGUAGAGCGUUCGACUCAAAUACCAAAGGUGGCGGGUUCGAAUCCCAGGUUUG